rnacentral:rRNA from 1 species
GUGCGCGAUACACAGUGCGCGACUGAGCGAAAGCAUUAAGUGAUCCACCUGGGGGAGUACGUUCGCAAGAAUGAAAACUCAAAGGAAUUGACGGGGGCCCGCACAAGCGGAGGAACAUGUGGUUUAAUUCGAUGAUACGCGGGGAACCUUACCUGGGCUUAAAUGUAGGCUGCAUUGGCUGGAAACAGCCAUUUCCUUCGGGACCGCCUACAAGGUGCUGCAUGGUUGUCGUCAGCUCGUGCCGUGAGGUGUCGGGUUAAGUCCCAUAACGAGCGCAACCCCUAUCGUUAGUUGCCAGCGGGUAAUGCCGGGGACUCUAGCGAAACUGCCGGUGUAAACCGAGAGGAAGGUGGGGAUGACGUCAAAUCAGCACGGCCCUUAUGUCCAGGGCUACACACGUGUUACAAUGGCCGGUACAGAGGGCAGCUACCCGGUAACGGGGUGCCAAUCUCCAAAGCCGGUCCCAGUUCGGAUCGGGGUCUGCAACUCGACCUCGUGAAGUUGGAUUCGCUAGUAAUCGUAUAUCAGCAAUGAUACGGUGAAUACGUUCCCGGGCCUUGUACACACCGCCCGUCAAACCAUGGAAGCUGGGGGUGCCUGAAGUACGCUACCGCGAGGGGCGUCCUAGGGUAAAACUGGUGACUGGGGUUAAGUCGUAACAAGGUACCCG